UACGUAGGGUGCGAGCGUUGUCCGGAAUUAUUGGGCGUAAAGAGCUCGUAGGCGGUGUGUCACGUCGGCCGUGAAAACCUGCAGCUUAACUGUGGGCGUGCGGUCGAUACGGGCAUCACUGGAGUUCGGCAGGGGGAGACUGGAAUUCCUGGUGUAGCGGUGAAAUGCGCAGAUAUCAGGAGGAACACCGGUGGCGAAGGCGGGUCUCUGGGCCGAUACUGACGCUGGAGGAAGCGAAAGCCGUGGGGAGCAAACAGG
rnacentral:rRNA from 1 species